UAUUUUCCUUUUUUUCCCUCAGCCGCGGUAAUACGUAUGGUGCAAGCGUUAUCCGGAUUUACUGGGUGUAAAGGGUGCGUAGGUGGUAUGGCAAGUCAGAAGUGAAAGGCUGGGGCUCAACCCCGGGACUGCUUUUGAAACUGUCAAACUAGAGUACAGGAGAGGAAAGCGGAAUUCCUAGUGUAGCGGUGAAAUGCGUAGAUAUUAGGAGGAACACCAGUGGCGAAGGCGGCUUUCUGGACUGAAACUGACACUGAGGCACGAAAGCGUGGGGAGCAAACAGG
rnacentral:rRNA from 1 species